GGGGAAUUUUCCGCAAUGGGCGCAAGCCUGACGGAGCAAUACCGCGUGAGGGAGGAAGGCUCUGGGGUCGUAAACCUCUUUUCUCAGGGAAGAACACAAUGACGGUCCCUGAGGAAUCAGCAUCGGCUAACUCCGUGCCAGCAGCCGCGGUAAUACGGAGGAUGCAAGCGUUAUCCGGAAUGAUUGGGCGUAAAGCGUCUUUAGGUGGUUUUGUAAGUCUGUGGUUAAAGCGUGUAGCUCAACUACAUAAGGGCCAUGGAAACUACAAGAUUUGAGUGAAGUAGGGGUAGAGGGAAUUCCCAGUGUAGCGGUAAAAUGCGUAAAGAUUGGAAAAAACACCGGUGGCAAAAGCUCUCUACUGGACUUAUACUGACACUGAGGGACGAAAGCUAGGGGAGCAAAGGGGAUUAAAUACCCCUGUAUUCCUAGCCAUAAACGAUGGAUACUAGGUGUUGCCCGUAUCCACCCGGGCAGUGCCGUAUCUAACGCUUUAAGUAUCCCGCCGGGGGAGUACGCACGCAUGUGUAAAACUCAAAGGAAUUGACGGGGCCCCGCACAAGCGGUGGAGUAUGUGGUUUAAUUCUAUGCAACGCAAAAAACCUUACCAGGGCUUGACAUGUCUGGAAUUCCGGCGAUAGUUGGAAGUGCCUUCGAAAACCAGAACACGGGUGGUGCAUGGCUGUCGUCACCUCGUGUCGAGAGAUGUUGGGUUAAGUCCCCGCAUCGAUCGCACUCUCGUUUUUAUUUCUAUCUUUAAGUGGGCACUCUAGAAAGACUGCCGUGACAAACCGAGAAGGUGAGGGAUGACGUCAAGUCAGCAUGCCCCUUACGCCUGGGCUACACACGUACUACAAUGCUAUGGACAAAGGGCAGCCAACUGGCGACAGUGCGCUAAUCCCAUAAACCAUGGCUCAGUUCAGAUUGCAGGCUGCAACUCGCCUGCAUGAAGGCGGAAUCGCUAGUAAUCGCAGGUCAGCAUACUGCGGUGAAUCCGUUCCCGGGCCUUGUACACACCGCCCGUCACACCAUGGGAGUUGGUCACGCCCGAAGUCGUUACUCUAACCGCAAGGAAGAGGACGCCGAAGGUAGGGCUGAUGACUGGGGUGAAGUCGUAACAAGGUAGCCGUACCGGAAGGUGUGGCUGGAUCACCUCCUU
rnacentral:rRNA from 1 species